CACGAACGCUGGCGGCGUGCCUAAUACAUGCAAGUCGAGCGCAGGAAACUGACGGAACUCUUCGGAGGGAAGGCAGUGGAAUGAGCGGCGGACGGGUGAGUAACACGUAAGGAACCUGCCUCAAGGAUUGGGAUAACUCCGAGAAAUCGGAGCUAAUACCGGAUAGUUCAACGGACCGCAUGGUCCGCUGAUGAAAGGCGCUCCGGCGUCACCUUGAGAUGGCCUUGCGGUGCAUUAGCUAGUUGGUGGGGUAACGGCCCACCAAGGCGACGAUGCAUAGCCGACAGGAGAGGGUGAUCGGCCACACUGGGACUGAGACACGGCCCAGACUCCUACGGGAGGCAGCAGUAGGGAAUCUUCCACAAUGGACGAAAGUCUGAUGGAGCAACGCCGCGUGAGUGAUGAAGGUUUUCGGAUCGUAAAACUCUGUUGUAAGGGAAGAACACGUACGAGAGGAAAUGCUCGUACCUUGACGGUACCUUACGAGAAAGCCACGGCUAACUACGUGCCAGCCGCCGCAGUAAAAC
rnacentral:rRNA from 1 species